rnacentral:rRNA from 1 species
UAGCGGCGCGCUUAACACAUGCAAGUCGCGCGAUCGGACCGGACCUGACUCCUUCGGGAUGACGGACCGGUUACGGAGCGGCGGACUGGUGAGUAACACGUAGCUAACCUCCCUUCGGGCGGGAAAUAGCAUCGGGAAACUGAUGUUAAUAUCCCAUAACCAUGAGAGAACCCAAGUUCUCCCAUUAAAGUGGUUUCGACCAUACCUGAAGAUGGGGCUGCGUCCUAUUAGCUUGACGGUGAGGUAAAGGCUCACCGUGGCGAAGAUAGGUAGGGGGCCUGAGAGGGCGAUCCCCCCACACUGGGACUGAGACACGGCCCAGACUCCUACGGGAGGCUGCAGUGGGGAAUCUUGCGCAAUGGUCGAAAGACUGACGCAGCGACGUCGCGUGGAGGACGAAGGCCUUCGGGUUGUAAACUCCUUUUCUGGGGGAAGAAUAAGAUGAGUAGGCAAUGGCUCACCGAUGACGGUACCUCAGGAACAAGCGCCGGCUAACUUCGUGCCAGCAGCCGCGGUAAGACGAAGGGCGCAAGCGUUAUCCGGAAUUACUGGGCGUAAAGGGCGUCUAGGCGGUCAGUCAAGUCAGUCGUGAAAGUCCUUGGCUAAACUGAGGAAAGUCGACCGAUACUGAUUGGCUAGAGGGACGUAGAGGGAAGCGGAACUCUCGGAGUAGCGGUGAAAUGCGUAGAGACCGAGAGGUACCCCGAUGGUGAAGACAGCUUCCUGGGCGUCUCCUGACGCUGAAGCGCUAAGGCCAGGGGAGCGAAGGGGAUUAGAUACCCCCGUAGUCCUGGCUUCAAACUAUGUGGGCUUGGUGUCGGCUCCCGAUAGAGAGUCGUUGCCGGAGCUAACGUGUUAAGCCCACCGCCUGGGGAUUACGUCC